rnacentral:tRNA from 1 species
GGAUCCGUGGCGCAAUGGUAGCGUGUUUGACUCAAGAUCAAAAGGUUGCGCUUUCAAUUUGCAUCAGGUUCA